rnacentral:rRNA from 1 species
GACGAACGCCGGCGGCGUGCUUAACACAUGCAAGUCGAACGGAAAGGCCCUGCUUUUGUGGGGUGCUCGAGUGGCGAACGGGUAAGUAACACGUGAGUAACCUGCCCUUGACUUUGGGAUAACUUCAGGAAACUGAGGCUACUACCGGAUAGGAGCUCCUGCUGCAUGGUGGGGGUUGGAAAGUUUCGGCGGUUGGGGAUGGACGCGCGGCUUAUCAACUUGUUGGUGGGGUAGUGGCUUACCAAGGAUUGGACGGGUAGCCGGCCUGGGAGUGUGACCGGCCACAUGGGCACAGGGGAGCGGGCAGGACGCAUUCGUGGAGCAUGGGCGGGGAAUAGAGCAAGACGUGCGGAGGCCGUGUGCAGGAACUUCGCGUGCGGGAGGACUGCCGUCGGGUAGGAACCGCUGCCGCCUGUUACGAAGCUGUAGUGACGGUAAUGAGUAAAGAAGCACCGGCUAACUACGUG